rnacentral:rRNA from 1 species
UACGUAGGGUGCGAGCGUUGUCCGGAAUUAUUGGGCGUAAAGAGCUCGUAGGCGGUUUGUCGCGUCGGCCGUGAAAACUUGGGGCUUAACCCCGAGCCUGCGGUCGAUACGGGCAGACUUGAGUUCGGCAGGGGAGACUGGAAUUCCUGAUGUGUAGUGGUGAAAUGCGCAGAUAUCAGGAGGAACACCGGUGGCGAAGGCGGGUCUCUGGGCCGAUACUGACGCUGGAGGCGCGAAAGCGUGGGGAGCGAACAGG